rnacentral:rRNA from 1 species
CACGUAGAAGACUAGUGUUAUUCAUCUUUAUUAGGUUUAAAGGGUACGUAGACGGAAAAUCAAGCCAUAAUAGGAACUAAUUUUCUAGAGUUUUUUAUGAGAGAAGGGGCGAAUUUCCGGAGGAAAGUUGAUAUUUUGUGAUACUGGAAGGACGGGUAACGGCGAAGGCAACCUUUUAUGUAAAAACUGACGUUGAGGACGAAGCCUUGGGUAACGAGAAGG